GAGAAUUGAUCACGAGGAAGAUGAAGCCAAACGGCUGCUAAAACCUUUUAUAUUCUCAGCUGAAUAGCUUUCGUGUGUGUAGAAACAUUGUGAACAUUCGAAAAACAAUGGCAUUUCUUGACGAAUCGCGAAUCUUGAAGAAAUAUUCGAAUAUUUGAAUUGCGGCCAUCUGUUUUGAGUCAAAACUUCUGACUUAAGUCUUACUUUGAAAUAUGUUAUCACAUAUAGGACGAGUUAGAACUUAACUCUCCACUCGACACAAACACAACAAGUACACAUGCGUGCACACACACACAUCCUACGUUAAGUGUAACACCAACUGUGCAAGGAUUGAUUGCAGUAAAAAAAUGUUUUCAAACGACAACGUGGCAAGCGACGGAAGCGGACGCCGAUGCGUUGGGAGGAACCGUAUCGAGAUCGGAAUGGCGCUGGCAGAACCUCCACGCGAAAGAAAAUUCACAGGAAGAGGACGAAAGCAUCACUUUGUUCCCCUUUCUGUUCGAGGCAUCCAUUCGGUGGUGCUGAUCCUUGUGUUACUCUCACUUACUAUGCAAAAUUUGGCCCAGGAUCCUGAUGCAGAAACAAGAACAACUGGAGCCAGUGGUACUGAAAGUAAUAAUAAUGCUGAUAUAGUUUGGCGCGAGGGGUACGCGGGCGACGGUACGACUCACGAGCAGCUCGGACAGGACCACUGGCCUUCCGUCGAGUACAGCCCAUACUUUGGUUCCGGCAAUUAUUCCCUGGAUCUAACCUCUUCACAAAAAGCUCUGAGUCCCGUUAAUACAUUAACGCACUUCGCCUUGCGGUUGUUUUUGUCCGACCUGCCUCCGGGCUAUGUUACGACGACGGCCAACAACAAGUUGGUUCUCGGCCCUAAGGUGUGGAAGAACGAUUGGGCUGCUCUAUUGGCUCAGUACUGGUUUCUGCUUGUUGUCGUGAUAUUCCACCUCUUCUGUAUAAUUAUCAUUCCGUUUAUUGGUGUUUGCUAUUGCUGCUUUUGCUGCUGCUUACGUUGCAAGCAAAAUAAGAGAUCGAACGAGUUCCGGAGGCGUUGUCUUUGCAGCGUUUGCCUUGCCCUUCUCGUUAUUGGCCUUAUGUGAGUUUGGGUCGAGGUCGACCAGCCUCAAUGGCAGCAAAAUAAUGUGCCUCCGAUUUCGAUUGCCCACAUGCUUGGUCUUUUCAUAAUGUUUAUCGCGAAAAAGUUUCUGGAUCGCGGACUAGAAGACAGCAAUAUGACAAUAGCAGAGACACUUGCACCUUUUUAAAAGAUGUGGCUGAUCACAUCUACCAUUUGAUGGUGUACAAUUACCAGGAGCUGGAUGCCCACCUCGAUGACCAACUUAAUAACGCACAUGAUCACAUAUUCCUGGACCUGGGGGAUACCUCCGAGAGUACUGCGCUAGCAGAAAUGGAGCGCAUCUUGAUCAACAUGCCGAAAGCCCUUAAGAUAAUGUUGCAAGUGGAGGCCUUAGAGAAGGAUAUCCGUUUCUUUGGGUCCCAAUUAAGAGACGGCUUACGGGGCCAGAAACGAGAUCUUACCUACGCUGCUUAUGCUUUGUGCCAUUUGCCAAAAUGCUAUAAGUUCAACCAUGACAUGGGUGUAAUUACUUACGAUGUUUCAAAGUGCCUGCACUUAGACCUGAUUCUCAAUACUACACUCUGUCGAAGCGAUGAAACAAAUUAUUGACGACAAACUUUAUCAGAUCCCAAUAAGGGGAAUGGCCCGCUUAAAAAAGGUUAAGGACAUUAUCCUGAAACAGAUGAAACUCGUUCUUCCGCCAAUAUUUCGAAGCCUUACUAGAUCAAGGAUAAUGCUUCUGGAUGAAGCUAUAGAAAUCCGCGACUUGAUUGAUUCUAUGAUCAGCGAUAUUCACCUAAACACACUGAGGACCGCAAGGACAUUUGAUGACGUCUACGAAAAGUUUGGCCAAGAUCGCAGGACUAUUAACAUCGUCAUUUUGUUGUUAAUCUUUAUAAUUAUAGUAAUCUUGAUAUCGGCACUGGUAUGCGGCUUCUUAGGGCCUAACCGGACAAUGCCAGGACCCCCUAGAGUAUUCUCAAAGAGAAUGGCUGCCUCAUGUCUAUUUAUGUGACUAAUCUCUAGUUUUUGGCAUACCGAAAAAUUUGCAGCAACAGCCAUUUGUGUCACUAUUUCAGCGCCAUCAUCAUGAUAUUUUGUGUGUUCUCGUUCAUGACGCUAGUUGGACUGUUCUACUUGAUAAUCGGUUUGAUAAAAAAUGAUCAAAACAACUUCCGAUAUCUCGACCCCGUGAUCGAUAUCAAUCGCUACAUGUCGGGGAGUACGGAAGUAAGGGAAUCGUUUCCCACGCUGCCAGUGUCGGAGGCAAUCAGGGCCUGCAAUGCAAAUGAGUCCGUAUUUCAGCUGCUGAGAGCGAACAAUAUUUACGACAUAGACAAGUUGUUAAAUUUUGAAGUAUUCGUCGACGGCUUUGAAGAUCCCCCUUUGUUCACUGGGGAUUUAUCCAAUGUGAUAUAAACACAAGAUAUCUAAAAGAUUGGCCAGGCUGCCUUGCUUACUACCUGGCUGCCAUAGAUCUAUAUAUUUACCAAGAUCAUAUAUUGGUCCCAUUGACGAAUGCCGUAAAAACAUUAUUGGAAAAAGUAAAGGAAAUUGAUAAUCUCAUUCUAUACGACAACAAUAACUUUGGCGACUCUUUUAAAAUACUGAUGGACGCGGUUGAAAGGUCCGAGAACUUUAUUAGGAAUAAAGGCAACGAGUACAUCAACCAUCUCGCCAAUAACCUUUCGAUUUCGGUCAACCUUCAGAUUUAAGAAUAUAUCGAAAGAGUGAUUAGGGAAUCGGAAAACAACGUAGGACACUGUAAGCCUCUGGCCUACAUUUACCAUCAAGGCGCUUCCUUAAUUUGUGAACGUCUAGUCGAUCCGAUAAACGCAUUUUAGCUGGCCACUCUUUUUUGCUGCAUGCUUCUCCUGCCCGUACUGCUGGUAGCCCAUUGUCUGAUGUGCUUGUACUCUAAAAUCUAUCCGUCUCCGAUUGUCGCUCAAUUAGCAGCAGUAGAAGCAGCAAGAUGUCCAGUUUGCACAGGUCCGCCGGUCAUGCUAGCGCCGGCAAAUAUUUUGUCACAAGAUUACCGCCGCAAGGCUGGGCUCACAGCUCCAGAAGAGUUGGACAGGCCGCUACAAGUUGUUCCAGUCAGAGCGGCAUCUGUAGCGAUCAGCAAACGUAAGAAAGACUAGGUAAACAAAAUGAGAGAUCGGCUUAAAUCAAAUUCUGCGGUGUUUGAAUAUUAAAUGUCUUUUAUCUGUUUUAUAAAGCAUAUUUGUUAAGCAGUGAGACCGACACGGCCUUACUUACCCGGAGGC